AUCAAGCUCACAAUAAAUGUGAGCCUGGGCAAAUAAGGAGGCUUCUGGAGCUUAUACAGUCACAUACUUGCCUGUGGAUUUCUGAUCCUUCUGCAGACUUUCCUCCAUGAACAUGAUUCCAUUUGACAGCCUACUUGUGACCCCUUUCAAGUUGUGGAACAGACAGCACUCAAGACAUUAGAAGAAAAACAACCACCCCACUACAGGACGUGAAAGUGGUGAUCUUAACUCCUUCCAGAAUGAAGAUUAUUCUUUAAUCCCAGUGGACAAUACAAACCCAAUGUUUUUAUGUGUUACUUUUAUAUUAACUAAAAGUGUAGGGCAGCAAUGGGGCUACAGGGCUGCACUGACGCUUCCCACUAACUGAUGCACCUUUUGUGGUUGCAGCUGAAUUUGGAACUGGAAUGGCAUUGGAAAAAAAUACCACAUUUCCUUCAACAAGAUAGAAGUUCCAGCACAUCUUAGUGACAAGCAGUCAAAUACCAGGAGGCUGGUUAAAAAAAAAGUGGGGGGGCAUGCAAAGUUGCUACACCAUGCUGAAAGGAAAGUGUACUUUUUCACUGCUGCCAGUACAGCAAAUUCAGGGGCUGCAUGGGCCCUUGGAGGCACGACAUUAGACUGUACAGCUUGAUGUAGCCCAUAAAUUUCCUGUAUUGUUCAGAUUUGUGACCACUUCUGGGAGCACAGAGAAGUGCUGGUACAGUCACAUAAUGGGUUAGUCAUAGUCUGAAUUGGUGCCUUCAUAUGGGAGUUGAACAUGUGGCCAUAGUUGACAUGACUGCAGCAACUCUCUUGUGGCCUGUCGUAACUGCAUAAAUUUUGGCAGCCACAUCACAAGCUGCAACUUCAGCAUCAACCUGAGAUUUCAACUGAGUUGCAAGACACUCUUCAGAUUCAAUUAUGUGUCUGGCCGGAGGAGCACAGGAAUCAUCCCUAGAUGUAGAUCUCAUACUCUCUAUUCCCCUUUCUCUCAACAGAUCAAGGAUAAGGAACAUUUGCCUUACAAAUGUAGUUUUACUGCAAUUUCCAUCAUCCUUCGCCACUGGGAAAAGCUUCUGUAAGACUACACAUGCCCAGCUAUAAUGGUUGUAAUACCACCGAUAAAGUCAUG